rnacentral:rRNA from 1 species
GAUGAACGCUGGCGGCGUGCCUAAUACAUGCAAGUCGAGCGAACAGACGAGGAGCUUGCUCCUCUGACGUUAGCGGCGGACGGGUGAGUAACACGUGGAUAACCUACCUAUAAGACUGGGAUAACUUCGGGAAACCGGAGCUAAUACCGGAUAAUAUAUUGAACCGCAUGGUUCAAUAGUGAAAGACGGUUUUGCUGUCACUUAUAGAUGGAUCCGCGCCGCAUUAGCUAGUUGGUAAGGUAACGGCUUACCAAGGCACCGAUGCGUAGCCGACCUGAGAGGGUGAUCGGCCACACUGGAACUGAGACACGGUCCAGACUCCUACGGGAGGCAGCAGUAGGGAAUCUUCCGCAAUGGGCGAAAGCCUGACGGAGCAACGCCGCGUGAGUGAUGAAGGUCUUCGGAUCGUAAAACUCUGUUAUUAGGGAAGAACAAAUGUGUAAGUAACUAUGCACGUCUUGACGGUACCUAAUCAGAAAGCCACGGCUAACUACGUG